UAUCUACCAUUAACAAACAAAAAACAAGGAAAAUUGAGGAAAAUACUAUAUCCCUUUUCUCUCUCAGCUCUCUCUCUCUCUCUCUCUCUCUCUCUCUCUCUCUCUCUCUCUCAGCUCUCAAAGUUUAUUUUCUCUGUUGUUUCUUGCAAAUCAAACUCAAGCACUCAACCAAUAGCAAUAGAGCGGCAAAAUUCAGCAUCGCUCCAAUUGGCUUCUUGUGCUCUUCGACAUUCACGGUUCCUGCUGAGGAUGUAAACACCAGCCUUCCAACUGUCUUUGCCUUGAGGCAUGCCUUCAUGAUGUGAUGUCUAGCACUGUAACAUCCCGACCCAAAAUAUAAUCCUUCGUGAAUUAAAUUAAUUAAAUUAAAUUUGAAUUUCCAA